UGGCGGACGGGUGAGUAACGCGUGGAAAACCUGCCGUAUACUGGGGGAUAACACUUAGAAAUAGGUGCUAAUACCGCAUAAGCGCACAGCUUCGCAUGAAGCGGUGUGAAAAACUCUGGUGGUAUACGAUGGUUCCGCGUCUGAUUAGCUAGUUGGUGGGGGUAAUGGCCUACCAAGGCAACGAUCAGUAGCCGGCCUGAGAGGGUGAACGGCCACAUUGGGACUGAGACACGGCCCAAACUCCUACGGAAGGCAGCAG
rnacentral:rRNA from 1 species